UGUCGCAAUAGUAAUUCAACUUAGUACGAGUGGAACCGUUGAUUCGCACAAUUGGUCAUCGCGCUUGGUUGAAAAGCCAGUGACGCGAAGCUACCGUGCGCUGGAUUAUAAUUGAACACCUAUAAGUCAGACCACUUUCGUCUAUAUGAUA
rfam:Nicotiana attenuata strain TT chromosome 11, whole genome shotgun sequence.